ensembl:lncRNA
CCCCUGCCCUGGCCAAUCGUCUCUCCAGGCCGUGCCUCUCCGUCUCUGGACUUGCUUUGCCUCUACCGCCGACUGGGUCCCGCUGGGCGCGGUGCAGCUCCCAGCCCCGGGCCGCGCAGCAGGGCCGAGCCGCCUCGCGCACAAGGCCGCCCGGGGUGGGCACAGGCGGCCAGCCGCUCCGGCCCCGCCCGCACCUCCCGGCCCUCUGCGUGGACCGAGCGGGGGAGGGUUUAUUUUCCGGUGGAAAUGAGUGAUGGCACUGCCUGAGGACGGGCUCCGGGUGGGGCUCACACCUGACCUGAAGGCACAACGUCCCUCUCUCUCAGGAGAGGGGGCUCCUCACCCAGGAGCCUGGGCGCUCCCACCCGGCCCGCUGGGUCCUGUGAUUAACGGCCCAAACCACAGGCAUGUCUCCGCAUGUUGUUUUUUUGGACGUUUUUUUCCUGCUGUAAACUAGAAAAGGACCUCGAGCCUGGGAGAUAAGAGAAUUCAUUUUGUAAGCAGCAGGCCUCUGGGAGCAGAUGUGACGGCGUGAUGGGAGAAUCGACAGGUCAGAACACUUGCUUGAGAAGCCAACCAGGCCGUGUCUCCGAGCAGGUGUGGGUUUGCUCACGUUCAGGAGCCAAACGUGCCCCGUUACUGCAUCGCUUCUUCUAAAUCAAAUUAAACGUGACCUUGAGCCUCCGCUUGACAAGGGCGGUGAGAAGUUCACUACUAGCCCGGGUGUGGGCCGCCCCUCUGCCUCCCCGAGGGGAUGAGAGUCUGUCCGGAAAACGUGGGGAGAGGCCUCAGCUUUUCCGUCCGCCAGUGACGGUGCCCUGGCCGCUCCCUGCCUGCUGUCGCAGCCGCGGGGUCCUCAGCGGGGCCGCCGCGUCCUUCCUGACCAGAGCUGCGCGCAGAGGUCUUCCGCCUGACGGCCAGCGCCUUCUGUCCUAUCGGAACAUCCGCCUGGGUGCCGCGUGGGGAGGGGCUGGGAGAGGAAUGCACCCCGCUGGGCUCCGGAAAUCUAACUCGGGGGUCACGGCCACUCCUCCUUUCCUCAGCGCCCUCAGUCUCUGGGCGGAGGAGUAAUGGUCCCCGGGCCUUCCCACGUGCGCUCGUGGUAAAGAACCCGCCUGCCAGUGCAGGUUGACUGAGACUCGGGUUCGAUUCCUGAGGAGAGCAGGGCAACCCACUCCAGCAUUCUUGCCUGGAGGAUCCCAUGGACAGAGGGGCCUGGCGGGCCACAGUCCGUGGGGCAUAAAGCGGCGGACACGACUAAAGUGACUUAGCAUGCACACGAGAUGCCCUCAUUCUACUUUCGACCUGGAAGUCCUCCAUGUGCGUCUAAUUCUGACUCCCAUACCUGGGUGGAGGACAGUCUCUCUUGCUCUCCAGGGUGACUCCUCGAGAUAUCUGGGCCUGACCCUGUUCCAUUCCUCAGCACCAAGUUCAGAAACAUCCCUGGACCAGGCUGUGCUAACCUGGAUCUGAGGAUGCCAUACAGCACCCUGUGUAACUCUGAGGUGGGUCGGGGCCCCCGGCACAGGGAAGCCAGUCUCCAGACAUACCCAGGUUAGGCUACCUGCGCCCUGCCAUAGCCAUAUGUAAAUGGUUAGGUUUCCAAAAGGUCUCACGUGACCCUCAUUCUCUCAGACCAAAGGUGCACACCUUUCCCCCAUGAGGACCUAAUGAUCUAGAGCUGGUCUGGCCAUUUAAAUCUAACUGAUGUAAAAUCACGUUGAGGAUUCAUCUGCUGCGCGGCACUAGCUGCAUUUCAAGUGCUCAGAAGUCGUGUGUGGGUAGUGGUGCCGUAUGCUCGCCGGCACCAGCCAUCAUCUCCACCUUCUGCGGCACAGCGUUGAUCUUGAAG